GCCUUUGUGGCCUAAUGGAUAAGGCACCGGCCUCCUAAGCCGGGGAUUGCGAGUUCGAGUCUCGCCAGAGGGUGCG
rnacentral:tRNA from 1 species